GGUCGAAGGAGGAAAUUCAUUCGCGUUUCGGCCGUCGAAGUUGGAUGUUUGUAUGACGAGCGACGUUACGGCGUCGUCUGCAUCUUACGUUCAUCGCUUAUCGAUGCCGAACGCGUGCACUUUUCCUCUAGUAGGACGUCGCGAUCCGUUGGGUGUCUGUCUAAGGUUUGAGGUGGAGCCCACGCGAUCAUUGAUCGCGUGGACCCUCGAUAUCCCGACAGACUCGCUCGACGGUAUACUUUUAUGGCGCGAGGCCGCUAUUACACAAUUAGCGUUCGACCCGUAGCAAGCGCGUUCCGAGUUUGACAGCUAUCGGACCUAGUGCCGAUUCUGUUCCGGAACGACUGUUGGUUACGGUGAGUAUAAUCUCUCGAACAGACCUCG
rnacentral:rRNA from 1 species